rnacentral:rRNA from 1 species
GACGAACGCUGGCGGCGUGCUUAACACAUGCAAGUCGAACGAAGUGGCGAACGGGUGAGUAACGCGUAAUCAACCUGCCCUUCAGAGGGGGACAACAGUUGGAAACGACUGCUAAUACCGCAUACUGAAGGAGGGGAUUGCGUCUGAUUAGCUAGGUGGAGGGGUAACGGCCCACCAAGGCGAUGAUCAGUAGCCGGUCUGGGAGGAGGAACGGCCACAUUGGGACUGAGACACGGCCCAGACUCCUACGGGAGGCAGGAGGGGGGAAACUUCCGAAAAGGACGAAAGUCUGACGGAGCAACGGCGGGGGAGUGAUGACGGCCUUCGGGUUGUAAAGCUCUGUUAAUCGGGACGCGGUACCGGAAUAGAAAGCCACGGCUAACUACGUGCCAGCCGCCGCGGUAAUAC